UACGUAGGGUGCGAGCGUUAAUCGGAAUUACUGGGCGUAAAGCGUGCGUAGGCGGUUCGUUAAGUUCGUUGUGAAAGCCCCGGGCUCAACCUGGGAAUGGCAAUGGAAACUGGCGGGCUGGAGUAUGGCAGAGGGGGGUGGAAUUCCUAGUGUAGAGGUGAAAUUCGUAGAUAUUAGGAAGAACACCGGUGGCGAAGGCGGCCCACUGGAUCGGUACUGACGCUGAGGUGCGAAAGCGUGGGAAGCAAACAGG
rnacentral:rRNA from 1 species